GCAAUUGGCAAGUUGAAGCAAUUUAGUCCUACAAUCACUAAAGCCAAGGAGAUGACAAUUUUUCUCUAUGCACAUCAUAAAACAUUGUCCUUGAUGAGGUCUUUUACAAAAAAGAGAGACAUUGUUAGACCGGGAGUGACGAGAUUUGCUUCUGCAUUUCUUACCUUGCAAAGUAUUAUUGCUAAGAAGAAGGAACUAAGGGCAAUUGUUUGUAGUGAUGAAUGGGAAGCAUGUAAGCACACAAGAACAAGGAAAGGAAAGUCAGCUCAUAACACAAUAAUGAGUAGGGGUUUUUGGAAAGGUGACUCUCUUUGCAUCAAGGUUUUUGAACCAUUGGUGAAGGUGCUUCGGUUGGCUGAUGGUGAUGGUCCAUCAAUGGCCACUAUGUAUGGGGAAAUAGUAAGUGCAAAGAAGGAUAUCAUGCUUGCUGUUGAAAAUUCAGAAAAGGACUAUUUGGUGAUCACUAAUGCCAUGGAUGGCAAGAUGGGAGGGAGGCUGGAUUCUCCAUUACACAUGGCAGCAUAUAUGUUGAAUCCCAAAUAUAGUUAUGUUAAUUCAAGCAUCUUCAUGGAUGUAGAGGUUGUGGCUGCGUUUAUGGAAGUAAUGGAGACCUUUUAU
rnacentral:rRNA from 1 species